GACGAACGCUGGCGGCGUGCCUAAUACAUGCAAGUCGAACGCUUCUUUCCUCCCGAGUGCUUGCACUCAAUUGGAAAGAGGAGUGGCGGACGGGUGAGUAACACGUGGGUAACCUACCCAUCAGAGGGGGUUAACACUUGGAAACAGGUGCUAAUACCGCAUAACAGUUUAUGCCGCAUGGCAUAAGAGUGAAAGGCGCUUUCGGGUGUCGCUGAUGGAUGGACCCGCGGUGCAUUAGCUAGUUGGUGAGGUAACGGCUCACCAAGGCCACGAUGCAUAGCCGACCUGAGAGGGUGAUCGGCCACACUGGGACUGAGACACGGCCCAGACUCCUACGGGAGGCAGCAGUAGGGAAUCUUCGGCAAUGGACGAAAGUCUGACCGAGCAACGCCGCGUGAGUGAAGAAGGUUUUCGGAUCGUAAAACUCUGUUGUUAGAGAAGAACAAGGACGUUAGUAACUGAACGUCCCCUGACGGUAUCUAACCAGAAAGCCACGGCUAACUACGUG
rnacentral:rRNA from 1 species